UUUUAUUCAUAUUAGCCUCAAACUGGAAAAAACCCAAAUGUCCAUCUGUAGUAGAAUGGACCCACUGUGGCAUAUUCAUAUAAUGCAAUGCAAACCAGCAGUGAAAAAGACCAGACUGCAGCUGCAUACAACAUGGAUGCAUCUCGCAGACAUGGCGUGAGACCGAAGCAGCUCAUGGGAGAGCGCGAUUCUAUUUCUGUGAAGUUUCUGCAGAACGAGGGCUUGCUGAGGUCACAACCCAAAUUCCUACAGCAUGUGGAAGGGAGCAAGAAAAGGCAAAGCUACUCUAAAGUGAUAGAACAGUUUAUCUAUCUAUCAGUAACAAGUAGCUGUGUUUGGGAGCCAGAACAGGAUUGCUGGUUACUGAGAGGGAGCAAGAGAGAGCCUUUUGGAGUGCUGGAAUGUUCUGGGUCUUCUUGAUCUGGGGGAGUGAAGGCUUCACGGAGCCUACUUGUACAAACGUGCAUUGGGCUGGUCACUGAAAGUGUAUAUACUUCACUGUAUGUAUGUCGUAUCCUCAAAACACGAGGGAAAAAAAGAGCCGCAAAGGGCAACAACUUGUCCUUUAUCUUAGAAUCGCUGUCUUGGCAUGCCACAGACUACAGGACUUCUAAAAGCUUCAGUGUUGAAGCUCCUGAAUCUUCAUAGGGUGUAUCUCCCAUCUGGUGCACAUGUGUCUUCCUGAGUGUCUUCCUACGGCACCAGGUCUAACUGAUAUGACAACAUCAAUAUGGCGGAACAGCAUGAUGUGUGUGGAAGGUCUGGAUGAGCACUGUACCUGCAGAUCACAUGUGACAGAGAGAAGAAGGUUACACAGCCUGGGGAAGUCUAGUGGAUUGUGCCAUCCCGACCACCAGGUGAGCAAAAGUGACCUGCACCACUGCCAGGCCUGACCCAAAAGCCUCCCCAGAGGUUCCUUCUAUGUUCUUCCUGGGGUGAUGACAAUCAACACAACAUUGGAAACCACGUGUUCAAGAUGGCAGAGCCACCAUCAGCCUGGUUCCUGAAUGACCACGUGGAGCAACAUGGAAUAUCCAAGUGAGCAAGAAAUAGAGUCUUAUCUUCUUGCUUCAUUAUAUUUCGGAUAUUCUUGAAAAGGGGUUCAGCCUACCCCAAAUACAAGAGACAUGAAAGAAAAGGAUAAAGAUGAAAAAUAAGUGAAUGGUGUCAAGUGAAAUAAACAAUGUAACACUGA